rnacentral:piRNA from 1 species
UGAGUCACAUUGGUCCUCCAUAGACAGAGC